UAUGGCCACAAUGAGUUUGAAACACUGAUUCCCAUACGAUCGCCAAAGUUAAGCAACAUAGAGCCUGGUCAGUACCUAAAUGGGUGAUCAUUUGGGAAUACCAGGUGCUA